rnacentral:rRNA from 1 species
GGUGCAGAAGUAGUUGAUGCCCUGCUUCCAGGAAAAUCCUCUAAGCUCCAGGUAACAUUAAAUCGUACCCCAAACCGACACAGGUGGUCAGGUAGAGAAUACCAAGGCGCUUGAGAGAACUCGGGUGAAGGAACUAGGCAAAAUGGUGCCGUAACUUCGGGAGAAGGCACGCUGGCAUGUAGGUGAAGUCCCUUGCGGAUGGAGCUGAAGCCAGUCGAAGAUACCAGCUGGCUGCAACUGUUUAAUAAAAACACAGCACUGUGCAAACACGAAAGUGGACGUAUACGGUGUGACGCCUGCCCGGUGCUGGAAGGUUAAUUGAUGGGGUCAGCCGCAAGGCGAAGCUCUUGAUCGAAGCCCCAGUAAACGGCGGCCGUAACUAUAACGGUCCUAAGGUAGCGAAAUUCCUUGUCGGGUAAGUUCCGACCUGCACGAAUGGCGUAAUGAUGGCCAGGCUGUCUCCACCCGAGACUCAGUGAAAUUGAACUCGCUGUGAAGAUGCAGUGUACCCGCGGCAAGACGGAAAGACCCCGUGAACCUUUACUAUAGCUUGACACUGAACAUUGAGCCUUGAUGUGUAGGAUAGGUGGGAGGCUUUGAAGCGUGGACGCCAGUCUGCGUGGAGCCAUCCUUGAAAUACCACCCUUUAAUGUUUGAUGUUCUAACUCUGCCCCAUAAUCUGGGGUGAGGACAGUGUCUGGUGGGUAGUUUGACUGGGGCGGUCUCCUCCCAAAGAGUAACGGAGGAGCACGAAGGUUAGCUAAUCACGGUCGGACAUCGUGAGGUUAGUGCAAAGGCAUAAGCUAGCUUGACUGCGAGAGUGACGGCUCGAGCAGGUACGAAAGUAGGUCUUAGUGAUCCGGUGGUUCUGAAUGGAAGGGCCAUCGCUCAACGGAUAAAAGGUACUCCGGGGAUAACAGGCUGAUACCGCCCAAGAGUUCAUAUCGACGGCGGUGUUUGGCACCUCGAUGUCGGCUCAUCACAUCCUGGGGCUGAAGUAGGUCCCAAGGGUAUGGCUGUUCGCCAUUUAAAGUGGUACGCGAGCUGGGUUUAGAACGUCGUGAGACAGUUCGGUCCCUAUCUGCCGUGGGCGUUGGAAGAUUGAGAGGGGUUGCUCCUAGUACGAGAGGACCGGAGUGAACGCACCACUGGUGUUCGGGUUGUCAUGCCAAUGGCAUUGCCCGGUAGCUAAGUGCGGAAAAGAUAAGCGCUGAAAGCAUCUAAGCGCGAAACUUGCCUCAAGAUGAGUCUUCCCUUGGACUUUGAGUCCACUGAAGGAACGUUUAAGACUAAGACGUUGAUAGGCUGGGUGUGUAAGUGCAGCGAUGCAUUGAGCUAACCAGUACUAAUGAUCCGUGAGGCUUAACC